AAGGGAAACUCACCACAUUUCCUCAACACUCAAAAUCCAAAUGUUUCUACCAUUUUGCAAGUGUGUAUUAUUUCCAUCCUUAUUCUGCUCUCCCUCUUUCCUAGACAGAAUUGGGUCCCCACCUAAUUCCACACCGCAGAUGCCAUACAAACGCCAUGCACAUGGAUGUCCUUGCAGCAUCACCCCAGUGCAGCUGUGGAGAAAAGCAGAUACCUUCCGUGUCACUUGAACUAAAUUGCAGCCUUUGUUUGGGAGUCGACAGGGAAGCAAAACUGUUUCUGUGUUUUCUUCCUACAAGUGGGAAGUGUGAUGAGUAUGGGCAAGAGAGCACCGGUGAAGAAGGGAGACGUGAGCAAAUGACCCGUGAGCAGGUGUUUCAAUGCACUGAUACACUUCUAAAUUAACUCUGGUCCUAGAGUUGGAGUAGAUCACCAGGGGCAUCCAUCAAACCCCGCUCUGAAGACUGACACAGUUGUGUUUCUGGCUGUUCCUCAUCUCUUCUGAUAAUGAACUGAAUCUGUGGCUCUGAACGUACCAAAUGAUCCCUGGGUCCUUCUGCUCCUUGGUGUAGCCUUCCUCCAAGCAUCUCCCUCUGGUCUGUUUCUCCUCCAGGAGAGUCUGCUCUGCUGGGGCCAAGGCAACCUCUUCCUCACUAAUAGGCAGAGUGCGGCAUAGUUGUUAUUAGGCUUGUGCAAUCUGGUGAACAAGUAACUAAGAGUGCCUUCUAGAUUGUAGAACGAAUAAGCUUGGCCGCACAUUACCUGCCAUGGCUCAGUGCUUUGGCUGCGGAGGCGAAGAACCUACCAAACAGCAACGGCAUGGAUCCUGCAGCAGAUAUGCGCCUCUUAUCCGACUGAUGGAUCCCCAUCCACACACAAAGGUGAGAACACUCUGACUGCAGCUGCCACACAAUUUGUAUCGCAAGGUGUUAUUUUGUUUUAUGGGGAGAUCAUGCACAAAGGAGAGACAACGAUGAGGCAAGACAAGCCCUUGCAUCAAUAACACCGGGAGAAAUGCUAAGUGUUACUGAUUCGAACUUUUCUCCAUUUCAUUUGCUCUCCUGCAUUUCACUCAUUUUUUUCCCAGAGAAUAAUACACCAGAAGAGAGACAAGCAAGACACCUUUUGUUCUCCUGUUUUUCAGAGCAACAAAUGACUAGUUUUCCACUCCUCCUUUUCAAAAAGAGCAGCAUAAUUCUGUUUCCAGCAAGAUAAAUGCACCAGAGAAGACAACGCAAGACACACCGCCGCCGCUCUGAAAGAAAGAACACAAACAUCAUCUAAUUAAUUCAGUUCUGUUUUACUGCACAGAAAGCAUAGUUUUCCCAGGCGAGGGAUUUUCUUGUCAGGGGCAUGAGGUUAUGCUGAGCAGAAAGGUGAUGUUGCCCACCUGAAUGUCAGGUUGAAUGCCAUUGAUACACUCACCUGCAAGGCUGCUUUAUCAGGCUCUGCACAAGUGCCCCAUUCACACACACACACACACACACCCAUGGCUAACAUUUCUUAUGCAGGGAAGGAUUUUUUUGGCACCUUCAAGGUUUCUCUUGGCCCCUGGGAUUGUCACUGGGUGGACAUUACUCCCCUUGGCACAAGUAAGCCUAAGCAAGCCCAUUGGGGAUGUAUCAUUGGGUGCAUGAUGUUAGUAUGACCACCACAUUGUGAUGAUGAUGAUUGUCAUCCAUGGGAUCUCCCUUUCAGUUAAGUCAAAGGGUGCUGCUCACCAAUGGGUCUGCUUCAUCCUGGAAAGAAGUGACUAGUGGAGUGCUGCAGGGUUUGCUCCUGGUCCCAGUUCUGUUCAAGAUCUUUACUCAUGAAUUGGAUGAAGGUUUAGAGAGCGGGCUUAUCAAGUUCACAGAUAGGACCAAAUUGGGUGGGAGUGACAUACUCCAGAGGACAGGGUCAGGAUCCAAAGUGACCUCAACACACGAGAGAGCGGAUUGGCCAAAACUAACAAAAGGAAUUGACUUCUGAUUGUGAUUACUGUCUAUAUUUUUAUAUGUGUUAUUAUACUGUGAUUUUACUGUGUUGCUAUUUUUAUUGAUGUAAUACUGUUUUGGGCUUGGCCCAAUGUAAGCCACCCUGAGUCCUUUGGGAGAUGGAGCAGGGUAUAAAUAAAGUUAUUAUUAUUGUUGUUA